rnacentral:misc_RNA from 1 species
GAUGAAGAACGUAGCGAAAUGCGAUAAGUAGUGUGAAUUGCAGAAUUCAGUGAAUCAUCGAAUCUUUGAACGCACAUUGCGCCCCUCGGUAUUCCGUGGGGCAUGCCUGUUCGAGCGUCAUUUAACCCCUCAAGCCUAGCUUGGUAUUGGGUGCUUGUCCCGCCUCUCGCGCGGCGACUCACCUCAAAGUCAUUGGCAGCCCGCAUCUCGCCGGCCGUGAGCGCAGUACAGACGCGCUCUUGGCAACGACGGAUCGGCUCUCCAAAAGCUUAUUUCAACCACUGACCUCGGAUCAGGUAGGGAUACCCGCUGAACUUAAGCAUAUCAAUAAGCGGAGGA